GACCGUUUGUCUCGGAUAUAUGUUGUGCAUUAAUAUUUAAAAAAAUAAAUUAAUAACUUCUUGUUAUAGUUUCGUUUUAAAAAUGGUUGUGUCGAAUAAAAAGGCUUUGUAUAUUGGUGUUUUGUCCUUGGUUUGGUCUACAAUAUAUAUGUCAGUCUUAAUAUAUUUUCUGAUUCUGGAAAAAAUCGAUCUGAACCUUCGGAUUUUUCAAUAUUUUACUGACAAUAAUAAUAUAAAAAUCAUUACUUUGGUCACAAUCAUAUUACUCGUUCUGUCGGCACUGGGAACGCUCACUUCAAUUCUGCUCCUUAUUGGCAUUAUAAAGAAGCGUCAUGAACUCCUACUGCCAUACUUCGCCUUGGGAUCUUUCGCUGUUUUAUUGAAACUGUUGAUAAUCAUUCUAUGUCUCAUAUCAAAACAUUAUGUGAGUGCACUCAUCACCUUCAUAACGGCCAUGAUUCUCUUAAAAUGGGUCCAGUAUAUUUACACCACGUAUGAGGAGAUUCGGACCGAAAAUGAGACCAGAGAUGAUGAAACUUUGUACGACGCAUCAUCAUGUGAAACGCUUUGUGAUGUUCCCAUUGACACUAAUGGUGACACUAAUCCCUUAUGUGAAUAGUCUUAUAAUAUAUUAUGUAUUAAAAAAACUUAUUUGGUUAAAUUUAUUUUUCACUUCGUAUUUAAAACUUCUGAGAUCCAAACAACUAUCAGAGUAGUGAUUUAGUGUGUAAUCGUAAAAAAAUACUCAAAUUAAUUAGAAAAGCUAGAUUUUAAGGUUGAUUUGUGUUCUCAGAUCCUACU